UGUGUAUCAGUACAUGGCAUAUCAAUAAGCGGAGGAAAAGAAACUAACAAGGAUUCCCUUAGUAACGGCGAGUGAAGCGGGAAGAGCUCAAAUUUGAAAUCUUCAAGGUUUCUACCUUGACGAAUUGUAGUUUAAAGAAGUGUUUUCUGUUGAAGUGUAGUGGCUAAAAGUUCUUUGGAAUAGGACAUCAUAGAGGGUGAGAAUCCCGUAUUUGGUCAUUCCUUCUAGCUUUGUGAUACACUUUCAAAGAGUCGGAUUGUUUGGGAAUGCAGUCCAAAAUGGGUGAUAAAUUACAUCUAAAGCUAAAUAUUGGCGAGAGACCGAUAGCGAACAAGUACCGUGAGGGAAAGAUGAAAAGAACUUUGAAAAGAGAGUUAAACAGUACGUGAAAUUGUCAAAAGGGAAGCGUUUGACACCAGUGUUGUUUUUCCGAAAAUCAAUUAAGAAUGUUUUAUUUUUGAGGAGUUAUGACUUCAUCGGCUUGCUCCUUUCUUUAUGGAACUUUCUUAAUGCACUUUUCGGUUAACAAGUCAACAUCAAUUUCUUUUGUUGUAAAAGAGUAUGAGGAAGGUGGCUUUCUUUUCGGAGAAAGUGUUUAUAGCCUUGUACUUCUGCAAUCGGAGAGAUUGAGGUCUGCAGCGUAGAUCCUUCGGGGUUAGAUACAUUUGUGCUAAGUUAUAGCUUUUCAUAGACAACUUGUUGAUUAUGUUAAGUCUUGUAGCUUACUCGCUUAUGCUAUUUUACCUACGCUUAGGAUGUUGACAGCAGUAUAGACUGU
rnacentral:rRNA from 1 species